AUGUCGAUGAUAAAUAUGUCCAGGGACCCAUUGGUCGUUGGCCACAUCGUUGGGGAUAUUGUGGACCCUUUCAUGACUACUGCGUCAUUGAGGAUCUUCUUCAACAACAAGGAGCUGACAAACGGGUCUGAGCUCAAGCCAUCUCAAGUGUUCAACGUUCCAAGAGUUUAUAUUGGCGGGCGAGACAUGAGGAAUCUGUACACGCUUGUGAUGGUGGACCCUGAUGCACCAAGCCCCAGCAACCCUACUAAAAGAGAGAACCUUCAUUGGGGAGGAGGGCUUAAAGGGAGAUGGUGGUCGCCAGCGCGCAAGGAGGAGGCCAUGGGACAAGGACAUCAGCUACGAGGCUUGGCGGUGGUGGUGGAGGAGGGAAGCGGGCUGGUGUCCGGCAUGAGGUCAGCGGUGGUGAGGGUGGCCAAUGAGGAUGGCCUCCCACGACAGCAACGGCGGUGGCUCCUAUGA
rnacentral:rRNA from 1 species